GCACUGCUGAGUAGUUCCACAAUAGGACGAAACGGCCGUUCAGUGC
rnacentral:hammerhead_ribozyme from 1 species